rnacentral:rRNA from 1 species
UACAUGUGGGGCAAGCGUUGUUCGGAAUUACUGGGCAUAAAGGGUGCGUAGGCGGCUUGUUAAGUCAGGGGUGAAAGUUUUCGGCCCAACCGGAAAAUUGCCUUUGAUACUGGCGAGCUUGAGUGCGUGAGGGGUAACCGGAACGAGUGGUGUAGCGGUGAAGUGCGUAGAUAUCACUCGGAAGGCCAAAGGCGAAGGCAGGUUACUGGUACGCAACUGACGCUGAGGCACGAAAGCGUGGGGAGCAAACAGG